GUGGCAUAAUUAAUUCUACUUGAAGGGCUCGGGAAAGCUUUCAGGAGGUGGCAGUGGACGGAACUGCAAAUGAGGGACAGACUUGGGGAUGCACAGAGGACAUCUGGGAGUGAGCAAAGUUCCAAAUACAUAAAAGUGUGUUCAAAGACAGCUGCAGCACAAGGGCUGUGGCAGAACAUUCUGCACUCCCCAGGGCAGAGCCCUCGGUAGCACUCAGCCCGGUGUCCCCAGUGCCCGAUACGAUGGCCACCAUGUAGGAAGUGCUCAGUACGGGCUGCUGAGGAGUCCAGCAAAGGCAAGAGCAGCUGGCAGCCAUGAAGACAGACAGGCCCUGGCAGACCAAGGAAGCCAAACCAUCAGUCUUGGGACUGCAACUAAACAGCUACUCCUACCCCACCCACCCUGUGCUAAGCACUGUGUUAGGUCCUCCAGAGACAGGAGCGUGUGUUCUGGGAUGACCACGUGAGAGAGGGACUGGAUCCUGGUAAGUAUCCAGACGAGAACACCAAGCCUCCAGCACUCAGUCAACUUGCUCAAGACAAGUCAUAAAGCUAAACAAUACGAGACGCCAAAACCCGUGUUCUCGUCAUCACGCCAGCUGAACAGAGACUGUGCUGGACAACCCGAAGCGACAGAGGCAACGAGCAACAGCAACACCCACGAAAGGGAGAGGAAAACCACACAGAAACCAGGAGGGCAACAGGCCGGCCUAUUCCACAUACACAGAAGCAGCAGAGUGCAAGAGAUUCGACGCUGCCACCCCAGGCCGCGCCCAGGCCAGUAACUGAAGAAUGUUCAAAGUCCCACCUUCAGAAUGCUACUAUUUCCAAGCAUAAGGUAAAGUCACAAGAGCUGGGAAGGAGGAGGCCUUUGUUUUUAUGCCGGCUCCUCGUGCAGCUGACCUGUGACCUGAGGCUGGCCACCCACCUCUUCUGCUUUCACUUUCCCUGUGCAUAAAGCCAGGGUGGCCCUAUGUGCCCUGCGCAUCCUCAGACUGACUGGGGACCCGACUGGAGAGAACCACAGAAAACCACACAAUAACAAAGACAGACGAAGUGUAGGCAAGGCAUGACGGGUGACUACACUUGAGGGCUGGGGAGAGAAGACGACCAUGUUGACGGUCUCGGCAUGAACCACCGCCAAAAGCAUCUCCCUUGGAAUUCUGUCCCGCUGCCACAGUGCUCCCCACCUUCUACAUCAACGCUUGGAAGUGCUCUCUAGGCCGACCAGGGAUCCUGCUUUUGGUGUCACAUCAAAGAACUCUGCCCAAUUCAAGUGUCUCCACCUCUCCUUCCUCUGUUGAAGACCGCCCUGCCUGCUCUUGCACCCAGCCAAUUCCUCCUCCCUCCCAUCGAGCCUGUUGUCGCCUCCUGGAAGAACUCUUCCCUGAGUCUGUGACCUCCCCCAGCACAUGGGACCUCCCGCAUCACAGUCCUGACGACAGUGCACUGUGAUUAUUCGGCGACUUGUCAAUUUCUCCACUUGACAGAACUUCCCGUGAGGACAGAGACCAGGACUGUCAUGAUCAGUGCUACAGCCCCAUCACCCAGCACAGCAACUGGCAAAUGAAAGGGUCUAUUGAACACAUGAAUGGGCUUUAAAAACAUUUCAGAAAAUCCCAAGACACAUUUUAUAAAAAUGGCCAAAAGGAUAUCCAUUAAGUGUUAUUCGUAAGUGCAAAAAUUAAGAACAGGCUGGAUGUGGUAGCUUGUGCCUAUAAUCCCAGCACUUUGGGAGGCCAAGGUGGGCAGAU
rnacentral:lncRNA from 1 species